rnacentral:misc_RNA from 1 species
CUGAGUGAGGGCCCUCUGGGUCCAACCUCCCACCCGUGUUUAUUGUACCUUGUUGCUUCGGUGCGCCCGCCUCACGGCCGCCGGGGGGCACCCGCCCCCGGGCCCGCGCCCGCCGAAGACACCAUUGAACGCUGUCUGAAGAUUGCAGUCUGAGUCUAAAUAUAAAUUAUUUA